AGGCAGCAGUGGGGAAUAUUGCGCAAUGGAGGAAACUCUGACGCAGCAACGCCGCGUGGGGGAUGAAGUUCUAUGGAGCGUAAACCCCUGUAAGUAGGGACGAAUGAUAGGCAUUCGAAUAGGGUGCUUAUGUGACGGUACCUGCAGAGUAAGCUCCGGCUAACUCCGUGCCAGCGGCCGCGGUAAUACGGGGGGAGCAAGCGUUGUCCGGAAUUACUGGGCGUAAAGGGCGCGUAGGCGGCCGAGUAAGUCGUGUGUGAAAGACCGGGGCUCAACUCCGUGUACUGCAUGCGAUACUGCCCGGCUAGAGUAAGGUAGAGGCGAGUGGAAUUCCCGGUGUAGCGGUGGAAUGCGUAGAUAUCGGGAAGAACACCUGUGGCGAAGGCGGCUCGCUGGGCCUUUUCUGACGCUGAAGUGCGAAAGCGUGGGGAGCAAACAGGAUUAGAUACCCUGGUAGUCCACGCCGUAAACGAUGGGCACUAGGCGUUGGGAGGAUUGACCCUCUCAGUGCCGUAGUUAACGCGUUAAGUGCCCCGCCUGGGGAGUACGGCCGCAAGGCUGAAACUCAAAUGAAUUGACGG
rnacentral:rRNA from 1 species